rnacentral:tRNA from 1 species
UGCCUGGAGGACUAGUGGUCAGGCCACAGCUCUCUCACCGUUGUAGCCUGGGUUUGAUUCCCGGCCAGGGAA